GGCGAUCACAUCUGACGGAGAUCGGGUGCAUCGCCUGCAACGAGCUGGCGGAGCUCGGAGCCGGCGAGAGGGAGGGAGGGAUGACUCAACGAUCCCUCCGUCCUGGCGGCCCUUCACCCACUCUCCCUCGCCCUCGCGUCCGCAGCCCGUCCCUUCGUCGUCUGCUCCCCCCAAGAUAUGCCUCUCCCUCUCUCUGCCGGAUAACUGCCCUCGAUUUCUUCCCCUUCGGCGGCCUCCUCGCUCUCGCCCUCGGUACCUCCACGGGUCUCAUCGUCGUCUACUCCCUAUGCCGCGAACUGAUCAGGAAACCGCAAGCAAACGCGGCCUCGUACAAGAUUACAUUUCUGAGGAGCUCUGUGUGGUCUUGCCUGGGGUCGUUGCCCUUUUUGAUGGCUCGGAUUUCUUUCUUAGUCCUAAAGAGUAAAACAAGAUGCUUUUACAUUUUGAUUGAUUUCCUAAUGCAAACUACCAGCUUGCCGUUCUUCUUCCUCCUCAUUUCUCACUGCUCUAGCAUUGUAUUGGUAGAAGAGAAAAAAGAUCAAGGAUUUGACUUGAGACUUCCUCUGAAAAUAUUGUUUUUAUUAUUUUAUAUGGCCAAAAAGAUAAGGAUCUUGACAUGUUUGUGAUCCAACUUUCAAUGCGAAGGGUUUGCUUCGGAGAUGGUUUCAAGAGGCUGAAUCAUGAAUGUGGGAGAAUAGGUUUCACAAAUCGGAGUCAGAGGAUGAAACUUCCUACCGGAGGAUACCCUUUGAGCUCUGGAACGUUGGCAAGUUUGCAACUCGUGCUGAUGCAGCUAUCGCAGGGAUAAUGCCACCGCCACUCUUGGAGCUCCAGCUCCUUUUAUUACUGGGCGGUCAAGUCAGCUCUACUAUGGUGUGAUUACAAUCGGAAAUGCUUCCGUGACAUCUGCUUACAGGUAUGUUCAGCUUAGCCUUGCCUUUUACCUGUAUUAUUCCUGCAAUGCAGUUUGCUUUACUUUGAUCAAUUACUAGCAGUCUCCUGUCCGUAGAAUAGUUUGGACUAUGAUCCAACUGGAGACUGAGUUGGUUCACAAGUAGGAUGAGGUGCUCAUCCUUUUCUGUCCAAAGAACUUGACACCAUGUUGAACUACUUCACGUUCCCCUACGUGAGGCUCGUUCGGAAGUACAACAAACACAUAUAGAUCAAUCUUUUGUAGCUUGAUUGGAAGUAGAACAAACAUACAGACCAGACGAUGAUGGAAGCAAUAGAUGUUUCUUUCAUGUUUUCCAUGAACAAACAAACAAGGACUUCUCCUCUCUUCUUGGUCUCGUUUCCUCUGACUUCUCAUUCCCCUGUUCUCCGUUUCUAUAACCUCAACUCCAUCUUGCAUCAAAAGCUUGUACUGAUGAUGAUGUGUUGGAAGCCAAAGUCCAUGGCUUCAUGAUCUAUUAUAUCUUACGUGACAUGCAUAGCUACAAGUAAUCAACAACAAGGAGAUUCCGGAAGCUUUUGCAGUGGGCCAGUUUUUUAGCCUAUUACUCUUCAGAAUUAUUUGUCUUCUUUGUCUCUUCUUCUUCAAUUAACUAUGUCCCAAAUCAUACUCAUUCUUGGUGUCCUAAAGCACAGUUUAGAAACAUAUAAACUAACACACAGGAGAGGAGGAAGGGAAGACUUUAAACCUGGAGUUGUUUGUUGCAGGUCGCUUUUCUCCUUCUACAUGGGCAUGGGUUGAAGUGAUCAAUCAAUAGCCACCAGUGGGUGUCUACAAACAUCAUCAGAAGCCACAAGUCUCCCUUUUUCUCUGUCCCAACGUUCAUGAUCAAGAUUUCUACCGAGUUGUCAUGAAGAUUAGAGCAAUGAUAUUUCCAUGAAAGGACAGACGUACACAGGAAGGUUAGUGGAAUUUGUUGCGUAAAGAGAAUGGAGACCAGUGGAUAAGCCUCGUUUCAGUGAGCACAGAAAGAAUAAACAUACUUUUGCUUUUAGAUAUGCUAAUUUACAUGAGAAAUCGAAUCUGGUGGUUUAUGAGAAUAAUGUGUCCUUCGUUUCUUGUUCCUGUUUCCUCCUAAUCUCUACUAGGAUUGAUGGUUAUGGGUGACACAAAAGAAUCAAAA